GUCAUCGAUAUUCAGAAGCAAUAACAAACCCGAACGAGGCGGACGUGUGAUGCUCGGUGCGCUUAAUUGUGAAUUGAAAUCGUUGUCGCCUGGUUUAUGUGUGCGCUGGGUUUGUGACUGUUAUUUGUCGUUUACUAACUGAACUCUACCGACUACCACGAGUUUAUUUAUUUGUUUGUUUGAGUUUUAAAUUUCGCGCCGUCGUCUCAACGCAACCCCAACUGCAAUACAGUCUCUCCCCGCCCCUGCCGCCCCCUAAAUAAAACAAAUUUAAACUAAAACAAGAAAAAGCCCAAACGAAAAAAAA